UACGUAGGCAGCAAGCGUUGUUCGGAAUUACUGGGCGUAAAGAGUGUGUAGGCGGUGCUCUAAGUUUGGUGUGAAAUCUCCCGGCUUAACUGGGAGGGUGCGCUAUAGACUGCGGGACUAGAGGGUGGGAGAGGAAAGUGGAAUUCCUGGUGUAGCGGUGAAAUGCGUAGAUAUCAGGAGGAACACCGGUGGUGUAAACGGCUU
rnacentral:rRNA from 1 species